rnacentral:rRNA from 1 species
CGCCAGCCUGACGGAGCCAGACCGCGUGGGGGAGGAAGGCCCUUGGGUUGUAAACCCCUUUUCUCAGGGAAGAAACCUGACGGUACCUGAGGAAAAAGCCUCGGCUAACUCCGUGCCAGCAGCCGCGGUAAUACGGAGGAGGCAAGCGUUAUCCGGAAUUACUGGGCGUAAAGCGUCCGUAGGGGGCUCGUCAAGUCUGCUGUCAAAGCUCGGAGCUCAACUCCGACCCGGCAGUGGAAACUGGGGAGCUAGAGGGCGGCAGGGGCAGAAGGAAUUCCCAGUGUAGCGGUGAAAUGCGUAGAUAUCGGGAAGAACACCAGAGGCGAAAGCGUUCUGCUGGGCCGAACCUGACGCUGAGGGACGAAAGCUAGGGGAGCG